rnacentral:rRNA from 1 species
UACGGAGGGGGCAAGCGUUGUUCGGAAUUACUGGGCGUAAAGGGCGCGCAGGCGGCUGCUCAAGUCAGGCGUGAAAGGCCUGGGCUCAACCCGGGAAUUGCGCUUGAGACUGGGCUGGCUUGAGUGCGGGAGAGGAUGGUGGAAUUCCCAGUGUAGAGGUGAAAUUCGUAGAUAUUGGGAAGAACACCGGUGGCGAAGGCGGCCAUCUGGACCGCAACUGACGCUGAUGCACGAAAGCUAGGGGAGCAAACAGG